rnacentral:rRNA from 1 species
UACGUAGGGACCAAGCGUUGUUCGGAUUUACUGGGCGUAAAGGGCGCGUAGGCGGCAAUUCAAGUCAUCUGUGAAAUCUCCGGGCUUAACUCGGAACGGUCAGAUGAUACUGCUUUGCUCGAGUGCGGAAGGGGCAAUCGGAAUUCUUGGUGUAGCGGUGAAAUGCGUAGAUAUCAAGAGGAACACCUGAGGUGAAGACGGGCUGCUGGGCCGACACUGACGCUGACAGCGCGAAAGCCAGGGGAGCAAACGGG